GAACGGUUAGCUUAGUUGGUCAGACCACCGGCUUGUAACGCCGGAGGUCGUGGGUUCGAGUCCCAGAUCGUUCA